CUUUGGUCAGCUGUCACCCAUGGCCCAUGUCUAAACCCACUUGUGACCACACAACAGAGGCCUGCUUUGGUAAAGAAAACGACCAACACAUGGAGUGGAGGCCAGACGUGUCACUGGAUUCUAGAGACCAUAUCAGCUCAGGAGCUGCAUUGAAAGACCCAUCAUCCAAAGGCAGAAGAAGGACUCCCGGAUUCUCUCGAAUUUAAACCAAGUGUCGCCUGAAUAAAUUGUGCGUCAUUCUCGUCUGCAAUUCCAGCGAAUACUUAAUAAAACAUUUCAUGUUUAACAU